rnacentral:lncRNA from 1 species
CUGUGAAUAUGAAUCGCUGUAGAUCUGGAUACAUCUUCUUUGAUCAUAUCCCUCAUAUUUGAUCAUAUACACAUAUUCCAAAGGUGUAAUGUCCUAAAAUAAAGGAAUGUCUCUAAAACUUAGCUAUGUACUUAAUGUUGUACUAUCUAUCAGUACUUCAACUGGUUCCCUUGAAUAAUAGCAUCAUCAUUCCCUUGCCUAUUGCUCAAAUGACUGGUUACAUAGUACAACCAAACUCUUGUAGUUUCAAGGAGCAGAGAACAUUUACAUUUUUAUUGAGCAAAUAGCAUGCUGUUCAUGGCUUUGACCUUGGGUAACAUGAUCUGCAUAGUGAUUCAUGAUUAGCAGCAACAAAAUUAUUUCAUAAGCUUACAGAUUUCCAUACAAUAUGACUUUUGAGUCUAACUUGCUAGAUUUUGUCUUUUUCUAUUACUUCUCAUGCCAUAUAUUGUAUAAAUGUAUUGAUCUUGUUUUGAAAUAUCUUAGAAGUUUUGACUAGACCUAGACUUAAAUUUUGAGAUGUUAAAUAACUUGCUGGUUG